rnacentral:rRNA from 1 species
ACUGCCCUAUGGGUUGUAAACUUCUUUUAUACGGGAAGAAACUUUCGAACGUGUUCGGAAUUGACGGUACUGUAUGAAUAAGCAUCGGCUAACUCCGUGC